CAGUAUUACAACCUGCAUUGUGCCACUUUAGCCGCCGCAGGAACAGAAACGUGCAGCGGAAGGGACCCUGAGGUCCACAGAAGGAGUACAUUCUGCAAUUUAAUAUGACAUACAGUAGGACCUGAGCCACCAUCACUGGUCAAGGACCAGGUGAAAAUUGCAAGUAACAAGGAAUCUUCAGAUCGUCAAGGUGAAAUGUGCUUCAAUCACGCCUCAAAUUCAAUUUUUCAAGGUUCAGUACCCUGCAGAGGAUUUUGAUGAGGAUGCAAUGGAAUUCCAGAUCUUGAUUGCGCUAACUUGAGGGACAUAAAGCUGAACAUUAGAUAUCCCAGCCAGAGAUUGCUGCUGAGCCAGAAGCAAGCAUUGAUUGACAGUGUCAGUGCGCUUGCCUGUAGUCUCCCCUCUUCAAGCUGGUGUUGCUACAAGACUGUGGUGCUGGAGGAGUCUUCCACUGGAAUGCACACAUCAGCAUAGAGGCGCAAGUUUCCUUAUGAAAUGUAGUACUGUGCAAACCUCCUGACGUGAGCAUGCUGGUAUUCAAUGCAGAGGUAGGUUGUGCAGUGGUUGAACAGCAAACGGGAAUGCAAUUGUUUCUUGCAACAUGAAUUUGAUUGAGUUAACCAGUGAUUCUUUAAGCAGUGUUCCCUACAUGCAUAUCCUGUAUUGUUAAUAGUAUUGGUAUACUCCACUGCUGAUACAGUAAAGCAAUCAUGUUUCAUACUACAGUAUGAUUUCUGAGGAGCUGUUUACUACAUUCAUCCAUGGACUAUGCUUUUAUACAUGUAUCUUCAUCAGAAACUAACAUUUGUUUACAUUCCCUAAAGACUGUCUCUCCAUGACUGUACAAAACAAAUCUUUGACUUAUGUGUCUUUUAGAAUUUUUUUUUUCUUUUUCAAAUCAUAAUAAUUUCCCUCAAGAAUACAUUUUUGGGUGUUAUGUUAAUAUCGUCUUAAGCUAUUGUUCUUUGAUACUAAAAUAGUUAAUCCUUAAAAACUUGAAAGGAGAGAAAUAUUACUGUCAGCUUACUACAAUGACUGUUGUAGCAUUUGUUAUCAUACUGUUCCUAUUAUGUAAUAAUGAUCACUGAAGGUAUGGGUGUGGGUUGUGGGAUUAGAUUGAUACAUGUAUGGAUGUUAAAGUUAUAUAUUUGUGAAUAUGUUUGUAUUAUAAGAUUGCAUGUGUGUUAUUUAAAAUGUUAAUACAAAUAUAUAAAAAAAAAACAAUCUUGGGCUAGUCUGGUUGGCUAGUCCCAACAGCUGACCAGAGUCGUCUUGGACAGAACAUAUUAUCUGCAUCAGAAUCAUUUGGCUUGUGUCAUCUUUAAAGAUAAAGCUUAAAGACGUCUUUUGCUAGCCUAUCUGGGACAAACUCUGCAGUGUAAUGCAAGUGUCAUGCUUAUGCUAUAGCCUUCGAAACUGUUGCCUGAACAAGUUUCCAGGGCCUCAUUUUAAAAUAUAUAUGUUGGCUCUCACAAGCCUGCUGAUUUUGCCACCUGCGUGGUCAACACAGGAAGUGGCAGCAGCUGAUGAAUGCUGCUGAAAUGAAUCAGCCAGCAGAAGCUGUUUUAGUGAAAAUGAAUUAUGGCCCGAUCUAACUCAACAUAAUAGAAGUGACAGCAAGUUGUUAGCAGGCAAUUGAUGCUCUUGUUAAACCUGUCGGUGUCAUAAUUAGUAGAGGAGGCAGAAGGAAGGAGGGGGUUUCCAGGGUCUUCUGUCCUGGGAUAUGAAUUGAGGUUGUAUGUUAGUGGGUAUAUUGAGAAGGUCUUGACUGGGCACUGAUAGUGCGUUAGGGGUAGCAGUUUACACAAGAAAGAGAAGCCAUUGGGAAGUGUAUCAGCAGUCAGAAAAAUACCCAGUACAUCAACAUCAGUAUUAUGAAACGUGCAUGAAACAGCUAAGAACAUACAUUGAAUGCAGUGCUGUUCACAAUGCUUGCCUCCAAUCCCCCUUAUAAAAGUUUACCACUGUCAUUUUGUUUUCCCAUGCUUUUCCCAUGGCUACAUUAUGCAUUUAACAUAGUUUACUGUGGUUUGCCAUGCUUUUUAAUAUGAGUUACCAUACCUCCAGGCUUUAACAAUUCUUACCUACACCUUACUAUACCUCUCUGGGCUUUACAAUGCUUACAUACACUUUACCAGCUUUCACUGUGCUUGAUUAUACUGUUUUCAGAUUGUCUCCUGCUUUGCCUGCACGGUUUCCCUGUUUGUAAUUUAAAACUAAAAAGGUAUUAUUUCUAAAUAAGAAAUACUAAAAUAAACUUUUCUUCA